GAUCUCAAAUCAGGUAGGACUACCCGCUGAACUUAAGCAUAUCAAUAAGCGGAGGAAAAGAAACUAACAAGGAUUCCCCUAGUAACGGCGAGUGAAGCGGGAAGAGCUCAAAUUUAAAAUCUGGCGGUCACCCGUCCGAGUUGUAGUCUAGAGAAGCAUCAUCUACGCUGGACCAUGUACAAGUCUCUUGGAACAGAGCGUCAUAGAGGGUGAGAAUCCCGUCCUUGACAUGGACUCCCAGUGUUCUGUGUUGUGCUCUCAACGAGUCGAGUUGUUUGGGAAUGCAGCUCAAAAUGGGUGGUAAAUUCCAUCUAAAGCUAAAUAUUGGCGAGAGACCGAUAGCGAACAAGUACCGUGAGGGAAAGAUGAAAAGCACUUUGGAGAGAGAGUUAAACAGUACGUGAAAUUGUUGAAAUGGAAACGCUUGAAGUCAG
rnacentral:rRNA from 1 species